rnacentral:misc_RNA from 1 species
AAUUGUGUUAAUUUAAAUUUUUGAAAUUAAUAAAGGAAGAUUUGUAUGGUAUUUAACCAGUUUGUAAAUAAGGUAACAGGGUUGAGCUGGGCUCUCCUGAUUUUAGUUUUCUAAAAAUUUCUGAGCUAAGUUGGCCAGAAAUGAAAUUAUAACAGUUUAAUUUAAAUUAUCUUAUAUGCAUAUUGGGUCUAAAUUAUGGGCCUGGUUAUGUAUUUGAGUAAUAGUUAGGCUUACUACGGGCCU